rnacentral:rRNA from 1 species
UACGUAGGGGGCAAGCGUUGUCCGGAAUUAUUGGGCGUAAAGCGCGUGUAGGCGGCUCGGUAAGUCUGCUGUGAAAGUCCAGGGCUCAACCCUGGAACGCCGGUGGAUACUGUCGAGCUCGAGUCCGGAAGAGGCGAGUGGAAUUCCUGGUGUAGCGGUGAAAUGCGCAGAUAUCAGGAGGAACACCAGUAGCGAAGGCGGCACUCUGGGCCGGUACUGACGCUGAGGAGCGAAAGCGUGGGGAGCGAACAGG